GGAAGAUACAAACAUCUCCUGGAAAUGUAUACCUCUAAACCAGCAGAAUCCAAAGUUAAAGAAAUGGGAGUUAUGAUAUUAAUGAGGACUUUUAGUAAGCCCUGGGUGGCUUGAUAAAGAGGCUGACUGACAUUUACAGAUCCUGGUCAUCUUGUCCACCUGAUUAUAGAGACCUGCUCUUUGAUUGAAAUAUUUUUCCGGAAAUUCUCUGAAGAAAAUGUCAUUAAUGGGAAGUCUACUUGUGGCAUGUAGGUUACAGCAACCCAAGUUAGGGAAGGGAGAAGAUUUCACAUUAAAUCAAACUCAGAGUCUUGAAGAUACACUGGACUGGACAUUCUAACUCCAGAUUUGAAAUUGCAUAUAUAACUUGAAGCUGUUAUACAAGAAUGAACAGAAUAGUCUUGGUGCCUCCUGGGGUUUUAAUUCAAGGGUCAAAAAGGAUUGCCUAACAUCCAUUGACAUUUACA